rnacentral:rRNA from 1 species
CCCUUAGACGUUCUGGGCCGCACGCGCACUACACUGACCAGUGCAACAAGCAUCCGUCCUUGGCCGACAGGCUCGGGCAAUCUUUGAACGCUGGUCGUGAUGGGGAUAGACUUUUGCAAUUUUUGGUCUUCAACGAGGAAUUCCUAGUAAACGCAAGUCAUCAACUUGCAUUGAUUACGUCCCUGCCCUUUGUACACACCGCCCGUCGCACCUACCGAUUGAAUGGUCCGGUGAAGCCUCCGGAUUGGCGCGCACCUCGGUGCCGCCGAGAAGUUGGCUAAACCUUACCAUUUAGAGGAAGGUGAAGUCGUAACA